CGCCGGAAACGGGUGCUAAUACUGGAUAUUCACUGAUCUUCGCAUGGGGGUUGGUGGAAAGGUUUGUUCUGGUGGGGGAUGGGCUCGCGGCCUAUCAGCUUGUUGGUGGGGUGAUGGCCUACCAAGGCUUUGACGGGUAGCCGGCCUGAGAGGGUGACCGGUCACAUUGGGACUGAGAUACGGCCCAGACUCCUACGGGAGGCAGCAGUGGGGAAUAUUGCACAAUGGGCGAAAGCCUGAUGCAGCGACGCCGCGUGAGGGAUGGAGGC
rnacentral:rRNA from 1 species